GCGUAAAAGCGGGGUUUACUGCGCUCUGCUGGUCUACCUGCGCAGCCUCUUCUGCUCGCCACACCUUUACCUGCAUUUCUCGCAGGAAGUGUUUUUUUUUUAAGGAAGCCGCGAAUGGCGAAUGUAAUGCUUUUCGUUUAAGCUUAAUUUGAUCUGUGAGCUGUGUGUGCAGCUUCACAGUUUUUAUUUUUUAGUAAAACAGACGAAAGAAACUAGAAAGAGCAUGUUUUGGAGCGCGGCCACAGCAUGGACCCUCUUCGCAACGACGUGUUUCUCAAUCGCUUUUGCUGAUGUGCAGAAAGUGGACUUUACACUUGACCGUGGAGUAACCCUCUCCCUCAGCAGCUCUCCCUCCACGGGCUCAGAGUGUAAAGUGUGCAAAUGGGUCAAAUGGCUAGGCAUACGCACAAGAAAAUGUGAUUCAUCCCAGACAUUCGAAAAUUCUGGAUCUGCAUCUGUGGAACUGGAGUGUCGCAAUCGCAAAGGAGCCUUCAACGCUCAAAUCAACCAGACUAUUGAGUGCACCUCCAAAUCUUGCAGCAGUAAUAUCAAGACCAACUCCAACUUUGAUAAUUUACUAAGUUUAAAUCGCCAGUUUGUCUGGAAUGUAAAAGCUGCCAAUCCAAAAUCAGCUAGAAUAAACUUUGGAACAACGGGUUUGAGACAAAUUCAACCCUCACAGAGCUGUCCUGACCUUCACGUCUACACAUAUGAGGUGUCUGAAGACUCAGCAAAUGUGCUGGUGGGAAAGUACUGCAGAACAGGUCCUAUCACAAAGGCCCAGGCCCGUGGAUUUAAUAGAUUUUCACUUGAGCUUCCAGUCGGACAGAAGCUGCAGUACAUCAACUAUGUGGUCUCAGCUGGUGAGGAAAUCAAGUCCCUUGCCAAAAUAUCAAUGUUUCUACCACAAGGCCAUUCCUCCUUGGAGCUCUUUUCUCCCAACUAUCCAGGCAACUUUCCCGAUGACAAGGUUAUGGAGUGGUACUUUGAAGUUCCAGCUAAACACCAGACUUCCAUACAACUUUUCAACCUCACGCAGCCUCAAUGUGUGGAGAAGGAGCCAGCCUUGGAGUACCAUGACAUGUUCCGGAUAGGCCUGGUGGCAAGUCUGACUGAGGCCCAGCCUGUGCAGAGUGAAGGAGGCUUCACCAUGACCCUCAGGAACUGUAAGAUGGACAAGGCUCGAGCCAACACCCCUGGACUGUCCACAAGUUUCAAAGUGUCUGCUUCAAAGAUAGCUGCAAAAGUGCCCUGUGAGGUGAACUUAACACAAUUCGCGGACCUUUCUCUUCACAUUAAAAAGCUGAAUCCAUCUUCAGACUGUAUCAUGAGGCACCGGUCAGUGCCCAUAGACCAGACCACUCUGAAUCCAGGCAGCAUAACUCAGCUCACAUUUGAAGACUGUCAGCCUGAAGACAUACAAAUCACGGCCAUAGAAAAUCUAGUAUGUUCUCAGGGCAGACAGUGCUACAAGUUGUACCUCUCUGUGCCAUCACUGCCACAGUGCCUGCCUGCAUCUCUGAGCAACAUGACAUGGGCCCUCCGCCUUCCUCUCCACGGGACAAUGGAGCUAGGCUGUGCCUCGGGCACACUCAUGCAGGUGCUGCCAGGACAGCCCUGUAACGACAGUAUCUUGAUCAAAAUGACAGAAGAUGAUGGGUCAAGUAUUGGAACUUUCUGUCGUGGUGGGUUCAUAACUAAACUCCAAAUCCACACCAAUAUGUCCAUCACUGUCACUGGCAGAAAUGGAAAAGAACUCGUUCCAUCUACCAUACUGAGAGCACGUAUAAAGGACGAAAUUGCAGAAAGUUACAUAUUCAGAGUGUCUCCAAUGAGGAAUAUCCCUCUUUUCUUGGCCACGCCUGGUUGGCCAAAAGGAAUGAAGUCUUCCUCAACAGUGUCUUGGAUCGUCACUGUCCCACCAAAGAUGGAGGCACAUCUCCUGUUCACUAACCUGAGCCAGCCCAAGUGUAGCAGCCACCACACCGGCAUAAAAAUCCGAAGACUGGGGCAGACAGAGGAUGACUAUAGCCGCAGGGAGGACGAGAAACCCCAGCGUGAAAUCACAGUGUCUGGCAGCUUCUUUCUCAACAUGUCCAACUGUAUCCCAGAGAGAGGGGACUUCAGUGUCUUGGCUAAAGUCACACUGCACAGGAGCCAGAUGCUGAUUAUUAUAGCAAGUGUAGUGGCUGCCUUGUUGGUUCUUUUCAUUGUAAUCCUUGUUGUGGUGUGUUUAGUGAUCAGAAAAAAGAAGAAAACUCUUAAUCAGCAGACGUCCAUCUAUAAUCCAAACGGCACAAGUUUUCUGCCAGGACAAAAUGGUUUUCCCAGAUCUCAAGAGGACGAUGAUGAGCAUGUGUAUGAUUACAUUGAAGACAGUUUGGUUUACUCUCAUUUGCUGAGGAAAGGGGAACAGAUGGGUGUAUAUGGAAAGGCUGAAACUGCCCCUGGCCACACAGACACACAGAAUCCCCUAGUGGCCAGACAAACUGGUACAGUUGACAUGGAGGUAGGCACUUACCAGGAUUUUCUUCAUGAGCAAAGACCAGAGCUGCCCAAAAGGCCCCCAACCCACAUGCAGCCGAUGGUGGACAAUGAGCUGUAUGAUAUUGGAGAAGGGGAAGAAAAGUCAUCUGCUCAACAACCACAGGUAGAGCCAGAAGGGGGAGGGCAAGAUAGAGGAGAGUCAAGGGCGUGAAAUGAUUUUUUGUUUACAUCCAUGAAGUUUUUACCAAAGCCAAAAUCCUGCUAUUACAAAAUUGUGAGGAUAUUCUUUUUCAAUACAUCAGUUACCACUCAUGGACUGUUGAAUAUUCAUAUUGUAUAUGAUAAUGGUACAUUAUUGUGGCUGUUGGAGUUGUUAGGUUUUAGCAUUUAUUUUCUUAUAAAAGAUUCCUUUACAUAUAUAAGAGUUUUGUAUAAAGGUGCCUAUUAAUUUAGGAUUUUAUUUAAUGUGUUAUAGCAUCUGUUUAGAUUUUGUUUUGUGUUAAAGUUUAAUUAGGAGAACAAACAAGUGACUAAGCAACUGAAUGUGAGUAAUUUAAUGAUGAUUUGAUUCCCAAUAUGACACCCCCUCCCCCAGUGGCCAAAGAGAGCAGUGCUGGUGACACUGAGGAAAGACAGAGCUGCCCAAAAGA